GAUGAAACCAAAUUGUGGACAAGAGGAUGCUGAUGGAGACAGAAUCGGUAAUGAUUGUGAUAACGACUCUGAUAAUGAUGGUACUAUAGAUCCUUUAGAUAACUGUCCGUAUGUACAUAGUUGGGAUAGAACAGAUACAGACAUUGAUACAGUAGGUGAUAUAUGUGAUAACUGUCCGUCCGUCACUAACACAGAUCAGAUUGAUACAGAUAAAGAUGGAGUUGGUGAUGCCUGUGAUACAGAUGAUGACAAUGAUGGUAGACCAGAUGGUACAGAUAAUUGUCCUUUAACAACCAAUCCAACACAAGUGGACUCUGAUGGUGAUAAUGUUGGUGAUGUUUGUGAUAAUUGUAUAAGUAUAGGAAACACAGCCCAGACAGACACGGAUCAGAAUGGAUAUGGGGAUAGCUGUGAUCCCAUUAUCAAUAA